GAUCGAAGGUCUUUUAAUAUGAAGGUAUAGUGUUAUCUUGUCCUGCUUUUUCUGUAUUAUAUGUUGAUAGCAGAUUAUAGUUACUAAAACACCAUGCACAGUUUCGUGACAAAUACUCCACUACUCCUACCCAAACUUAAAAAUAAUAUCAAAUCAAUAGGUUGACAAAUUGAAAAUUUCAACAUUAAAAUGUAUUUAAACUAAUCCUUCAUCUAUGAAUGAAAUUUUUAAUAAUAGGUAGUUAUUUGAAAGUAAAAUGUAGGUUAUCAAUUGCCUCCAAAAAAAAUGGCAAUGUAACUUCAAUGAUAUAAAUUUCUUAAGUUGUCAAAAAAAAAAAAA